AAGGGUAUAGCUCAGUGGUAGCGCUCUUGCUUAGCAUGCCUGAGGUCCUGGGUUCAAUCCCCAGUACCUCCA
rnacentral:tRNA from 1 species